rnacentral:rRNA from 1 species
UACGGAGGGGGUUAGCGUUGUUCGGAAUUACUGGGCGUAAAGCGCGCGUAGGCGGAUUAGAAAGUUGGGGGGUGAAAUCCCGGGGCUCAACCCCGGAACUGCCUCCAAAACUACUAGUCUAGAGUUCGAGAGAGGUGAGUGGAAUUCCGAGUGUAGAGGUGAAAUUCGUAGAUAUUCGGAGGAACACCAGUGGCGAAGGCGGCUCACUGGCUCGAUACUGACGCUGAGGUGCGAAAGUGUGGGGAGCAAACAGG